GCCAAGCCUCGGCAACUCAGCUUAGUUUUUCUAACUCCUUCUUAUCUACAUAGAGGCUCGCUCCUCUGGUCACCGUUUGCUCGAUUACCUGUCCGCCCUCCAACACCACCUCCACCAGCGAUCUACACCAAACUCUGAGACUCCACACGCCACCAACAAGCAGCCUCGACUCCAGCAGCCCCCACCGCUUCUUCCUCCCUGGCAGAUUAACUGCAUUUCAUCAAGAUGCAGUCGAUCCUAUACAGUGGACUCCGGGACAAGAUUCACAUUUCAUUCAAUUCUCUGGACAAAAUAAACUGUAUUGAACUGA